rnacentral:rRNA from 1 species
AGAAUCAACGCUGGCGGCGUGCCUAACACAUGCAAGUCGAACGAGAAAGUGGGAGCAAUCCCACGAGUAAAGUGGCGCACGGGUGAGUAACACGUGACUAACCUACCCUUGAGUGGGGGAUAACCUAGGGAAACCUGGGCUAAUACCGCAUAAUACCUACGGAUCAAAGGAGCAAUUCGCUUAAGUAGGGGGUCGCGGCAGAUUAGUUAGUUGGCGGGGUAAUGGCCCACCAAGACAGUGAUCUGUAUCCGGCCUGAGAGGGCGCGACGGAACGACGACUAGGAACGUGAACACGGUCCAGACUCCUACGGGAGGCAGCAGUGGGAAUUUGCGCAAUGGGGGAAACCCUGACGCAGCAACGCCGCGUGGAGGAUGAAGCCCCUUGGGGCGUAAACUCCUUUCGAUCGGGAAGAUAAUGACGGUACCGGAAGAAGAAGCCCCGGCUAACUUCGUGCCAGCAGCCGC